rnacentral:misc_RNA from 1 species
UUGUUGGAUAAAUUCAGAGAGUUCAAAGUAUAAAGGGAUCCAAGACUCUCUGGGAUUUCCCCAGAAAAUGAAUUGUCAGAGAGGUUUAUAACAGUGAGAGAGACGCAUGAACCUAAUGAAUCUGGUAUAGUACCAGAAAAAAGGUUUCCAUUCAAAUAAAGACCGUCUAGUUUCUUUAAUUUACCAAUAGCGUCUGGGAUUCUGCCGACAAAUUUAUUCGAACUCAACUUAACUGACACUAACGAAGAAGCAUCUGAAAUUGCAGCAGGUAACUCGCUAGAAAAUUGAUUGUUAGAUAGAAUUAGCAACGCCAGAGAAUUUGCAUUACCAAUAUCUGGUGUCACCGGACCUUCAAAUUGGUUCAUGUUAAGAUCAAUGAUAACAAGGUUCGGCAAACCCCAUAUUCCUGCAGGGACAGUACCUGAAAGUGAAUUGUUGUUCAUACGUAAACGAGUCAGAGACUUACAAUUCUCAUAGCUAUCUGGGAUUUGGCCGGUGAACUUGUUCUGUAGGAUAAGAAGAUCAAACAUUUUCCCAUUCUUGCACAUGUCUGGAGGUAUAGGACCUGUCAAGAAAUUCUCUGAAACA